ACCUACGGGGGGCAGCAGUAGGGAAUCUUCCACAAUGGGCGAAAGCCUGAUGGAGCAACGCCGCGUGAAGGAAGAAGGCUUUCGGGUUGUAAACUUCUUUUCUCAGGGACGAAGAAAGUGACGGUACCUGAGGAAUAAGCCACGGCUAACUACGUGCCAGCAGCCGCGGUAAUACGUAGGUGGCAAGCGUUAUCCGGAUUUAUUGGGUGUAAAGGGCGUGUAGGCGGGAGCGCAAGUCAGAUGUGAAAACUCAGGGCUCAACCCUGAGCCUGCAUUUGAAACUGUGUUUCUUGAGUGCUGGAGAG
rnacentral:rRNA from 1 species